AUACGUAGGGGGCGAGCGUUGUCCGGAAUGAUUGGGCGUAAAGGGCGCGUAGGCGGCGCGGUAAGUCUGGAGUGAAAGUCCUGCUUUCAAGGUGGGAAUUGCCUUGGAUACUGCCGCGCUUGAGUGCAGGAGAGGUUAUCGGAAUUCCCGGUGUAGCGGUGAAAUGCGUAGAGAUCGGGAGGAACACCAGUGGCGAAGGCGGGUAACUGGACUGCAACUGACGCUGAGGCGCGAAAGUGUGGGGAGCAAACAGGAUUAGAUACCCUGGUAGUCCACACUGUAAACGAUGAAUGCUAGGUGUAAGAGGUAUCGACCCCUUUUGUGCCGGAGUCAACACAAUAAGCAUUCCGCCUGGGGAGUACGGCCGCAAGGUUGAAACUCAAAUGAAUUGACGGGG
rnacentral:rRNA from 1 species